rnacentral:rRNA from 1 species
AGUGAACGCUGGCGGUAGGCCUAACACAUGCAAGUCGAACGGCAGCACAGUAAGAGCUUGCUCUUACGGGUGGCGAGUGGCGGACGGGUGAGGAAUACAUCGGAAUCUACUUUUUCGUGGGGGAUAACGUAGGGAAACUUACGCUAAUACCGCAUACGACCUACGGGUGAAAGCAGGGGAUCUUCGGACCUUGCGCGAUUGAAUGAGCCGAUGUCGGAUUAGCUAGUUGGCGGGGUAAAGGCCCACCAAGGCGACGAUCCGUAGCUGGUCUGAGAGGAUGAUCAGCCACACUGGAACUGAGACACGGUCCAGACUCCUACGGGAGGCAGCAGUAGGGAAUAUUGGACAAUGGGCGCAAGCCUGAUCCAGCCAUACCGCGUGGGUGAAGAAGGCCUUCGGGUUGUAAAGCCCUUUUGUUGGGGAAGAAAAGCAGCAGGUUAAACCCCCGACGUUUUGACGGUACCCAAAGAAUAAGCACCGGCUAACUUCGUG